rnacentral:pre_miRNA from 12 species
GCUGCUGUUGGGAGACCCUGGUCUGCACUCUUAUCUGUAUGCUUACUGAGGGGAGAGCAGGGCAGGGUUUCCCAUACAGAGGGC